CCUCCUUUCCUUAGUAAGCUUCCUCUCAACUCUCUUUCACUCUUUCUCGUCGUUUGAAGAACUACAAAGGCCAAACCAGCCGGCCACCAGCCACCGGAGGCUAUCCUCUCAUCUGCCGCUCGGUGAAGACCAAACGACGGCCUACAAGACCAAAAAAGAGCCCACUCGACCUUCUAACACCUUAUCUACCCUUGGUCGAAAACCUCCAAACCUUUACACCGCUGUAAAUCGACGUCUCCAAUCACCAACCACAUACCACCAUCGUUUUAACCGCAGCCUAGAUCUCAGCAAACCCCAAGCCUUCCCUUUUUCGUCUAAACCCCAAAAAAGAGCCCCUAAAUCAACAUGCAAACUCCAUAGACUCUAAAGCUUCCAACGAUGGCCGACGAUCGACGAGUGACCACUGUUCGACGAGGAGACUGGACUGAUAAGGCACGAAGCUAUUCGGGACCACUGUUGUAUGCGUGGUGAAAAGAGGCUCGGUUGAGGAGGCUGGGACCACCACGGAGCUGAUAGUGUUUGAGGUUGCUGUUUUGUUUGAUGUUGACGCGCGUGCAUUGCUGGGACGUAGCUUAGGACCACUGGCUGGCGGCGACUGGACUUCAUUUUCCCUGUCAUUUAGGGUUUUCAUCUCAACGGUUGGAUCAUCAUAAGAUCCAACGGUGGUGAUCAAAGCGGUUGAAGGAUUAAAAUCCCAAGUUUCUUUGGGAUGGCAACUGUGGGCCUCUGUUGGGUCUUAAAUUGUAUAUAGGCUUUUGGAUUUUUAAAUGGGUUGGUAGAGAGUUUAAUCUUUGUAAUUGGACACGAGUUAAAUAAAACUUGUGUUUGGGGUUUAUACAUGGACUAGUUUUUAAUUAUGGAAUUUAGUGGAUUUUUGUAUUGUUUGGUAAA